rnacentral:rRNA from 1 species
CCUACGGGCGGCAGCAGUGGGGAAUAUUGCACAAUGGGGGAAACCCUGAUGCAGCGACGCCGCGUGAGGGAAGAAGUAUUUCGGUACGUAAACUUCUAUCAGCAGGGAAGAAAAUGACGGUACCUGACUAAGAAGCCCCGGCUAACUACGUGCCAGCAGCCGCGGUAAUACGUAGGGGGCAAGCGUUAUCCGGAUUUACUGGGUGUAAGGGGAGCGUAGGCGGCACUGCAAGUCAGAAGUGAAAGCCCGAAGCUCAACGGCGGGACUGCUUUUGAAACUGUAUGACUGGAGUGCAGGAGAGGUAAGUGGAAUUCCUAGUGUAGCGGGGAAAUGCGUAGAUAUUAGGAGGAACACCAGUGGCGAAGGCGGCUUACUGGACUGUAAAUGACGCUGAGGCUCGAAAGCGUGGGGAGCAAACAGGAUUAGAUACCCGAGUAGUC